UUAAACUGAAGAGUUUGAUCAUGGCUCAGAUUGAACGCUGGCGGCAGGCCUAACACAUGCAAGUCGAGCGGAAACGAUGGGAGCUUGCUUUCAGGCGUCGAGCGGCGGACGGGUGCGUAACGCGUAGGAAUCUGCCCAGUAGCGGGGGAUAGCCCGGAGAAAUUCGGAUUAAUACCGCAUAAGCCCUACGGGGGAAAGCAGGGGAUCUUCGGACCUUGCGCUAUUGGAUGAGCCUGCGUCGGAUUAGCUUGUAGGUGGGGUAAUGGCCUACCUAGGCAACGAUCCGUAGCUGGUCUGAGAGGAUGAUCAGCCACACUGGGACUGAGACACGGCCCAGACUCCUACGGGAGGCAGCAGUGGGGAAUAUUGGAC
rnacentral:rRNA from 1 species